rnacentral:rRNA from 1 species
UACGUAGGGUGCGAGCGUUGUUCGGAAUUAUUGGGCGUAAAGAGCUCGUAGGCGGUUUGUUGCGUCUAUCGUGAAAACCUGCAGCUUAACUGUGGGCUUGCGGUGGAUACGGGCAGACUUGAGUUCGGUAGGGGAGACUGGAAUUCCUGGUGUAGCGGUGAAAUGCGCAGAUAUCAGGAGGAACACCGGUGGCGAAGGCGGGUCUCUGGGCCGUAACUGACGCUGAGGAGCGAAAGCAUGGGGAGCGAACAGG